rnacentral:rRNA from 1 species
AUUGAACGCUGGCGGCAUGCUUUACACAUGCAAGUCGAACGGCAGCACAGGGAGCUUGCUCCCGGGUGGCGAGUGGCGCACGGGUGAGUAAUACAUCGGAACGUGUCCUGUUGUGGGGGAUAACUGCUCGAAAGGGUGGCUAAUACCGCAUGAGACCUGAGGGUGAAAGCGGGGGAUCGCAAGACCUCGCGCAAUUGGAGCGGCCGAUGCCCGAUUAGCUAGUUGGUGGGGUAAAGGCUCACCAAGGCGACGAUCGGUAGCUGGUCUGAGAGGAUGAACGGCCACAUUGGGACUGAGAUACGGCCCAGACUCCUACGGGAGGCAGCAGUGGGGAAUAUUGGGCAAUGGGGGGAAACCCUGACCCAGCAACGCCGCGUGAAGGAAGAAGGGCCUUCGGGUUGGUAAACUUCUUUUACCUAGGGCGAAGAAAUAGACGGUACCUGGAGAAAAAGACAACGGCUAACUACGUAG